AGGUCAGAUGAUCCCUUUAUGAUAAUUUUCCUUCUUGCUGCAAUACAUCUAGAAAUUUCUUGAGUAAAGAAUUGCUAGAGCAGCAACAGACAACUAAUACAUAGCUACCGCAGUUGGCUCUCUGCUCCCGUGGAUUCAACCAACCAAGGAUUGAAAACAUCCAGGGGAGCUGUUCACAACUAUUGCAAGGGUCACUCCUGGACAUGAAAUUGUCACGAGGAAGGAGAAACACAUGGCUGACUCUUAGAACAGAAGGAAGAUUUCUUCGAAGUCAGACAUCUUCUCAUACCAGCAGGAUGGUGCAGGCUGGCCACCCUCAGUAAGUCAGUGACAAGGAGACCAGGGCCACCCUCUCAUUGGUCCAUCCUGCCCUUAGAGCGGAGGGUGGGGUCAGGCUCCACUGCUGGAAUGUGCCAUUAGGACAGAAAGAAGGAAGGAAUUGAUCUUCGGUAACGAAACAGGUGCCAACCACAUCACUCAUCUAAUUUAUUUCUUUAGAUUUCAGAUUGUUAAAGGGAACCCAUGUAAUCUCAAAAUUAAACUCUCCAAUGGACAUUCUUAGUGAAAAUCUUGAAAUGGGUAAUGCCUGAGUGCUAACUCGUUUGCUAAGUGAUUGACAGGGAGUUCUUAGGGCU